ACGGGAGGCAGCAGUGAGGAAUAUUGGUCAAUGGGCGAGAGCCUGAACCAGCCAAGUCGCGUGAGGGAAGACGGCCCUAUGGGUUGUAAACCUCUUUUAUGCGGGAAUAAAGUGUCCCAUGCGUGGGGUUUUGCAAGUACCGCAGGAAUAAGCAUCGGCUAACUCCGUGCCAGCAGCCGCGGUAAUACGGGGGAUUCGAGUGUUAUCCGGAUUUAUUGGGUUUAAAGGGUGCGUAGGCGGAGGAUCAAGUCAGUGGUGAAAUGCUGCGGCUCAACCGUGGCAUUGCCGUUGAAACUGGUUUUCUAGAGUGCGAAUGAGGUAGGCGGAAUGUGUAGUGUAGCGGUGAAAUGCAUAGAUAUGACACAGAACACCGAUUGCGAAGGCAGCUCACUGGGACGCAACUGACGCUGAGGCACGAAAGUGCGGGGAUCGAACAGGAUUAGAUACCCUGGUA
rnacentral:rRNA from 1 species